rnacentral:lncRNA from 1 species
GUGCGCCAUCCAGCUCCCAUGCCGCCCUCUGUUCAGCUCGAUUCAGCCAUCACAGGCCACUAUCCGACCACCUCCGGCCACCGUGGGCCACCGCUCGGCCUCGCCAAGCCGCCACCUACCUUCCCGACCCCUUGCCGCCCCCAACCAACUCACUUCCUCUCUGUUUUGCAGCCAAACCAGCAACCCACCAAGUGGGUUUCCAGCACACUCGUGGGUGGUUUUGUGCCGUUUCCGGGCUCCGAACCCGAGCCGUGCUUUGGGAAGAAUCGUUCCUCAUGUCGUCCCC